CGGUUCAAACCACCCGUUUAUAAUAUACAGGGCAGCACUACAUAGUUGAUUACUGAUCAGAGUGACUUUGUUCAAAGAUCAGGCUUUUCAGUGUGAGUAAAAGCAUCAGUUUGGUAGGCCACUAUCUUCACUGCCAGUCUGCCACCAAGCUUCUUGUCAUAACCUAGUAUCAGGGUGAAAUAAGGUUAUCUUGUCCGAUCCCAGUCCAUCUUGUAACUCAAACCACAUUCAGGGCCGCUUUCACCACCAGUGACAAUAUGGCAAUGCCAAUGCUAGAAAAACCCUUGUUUAACCAUGCAAGGCAUUCUUCAACCACCUGCCCCGCCCGCAUAGCCUGCUGGGAACUUGAGCUGAAGCAUGUGGAGCUGAGAGCUGGAGACCAGUUCAAAGUACAGGGGAGGAUUAUGGAUUAGAAUGAGGUUCCAGAUCGACCUGGGCUGUGAUGAAGAUGACCUGGCACUGCACUUUUACCCACGUUUCAAUGAUGACACUGAUGGCACUGUGCUCGUGUGCAACUCAAAGAUUGCCGGCUGCUGGGGGGAUGAGAAGAGAGAGAUCCACAAUCCACUCCAACGGGGUUCUAUAUUCAAGGUGUGAAAAUGGGGGUUGGAAAGAUGGAGGGAGGUGGGUUUGAUCCUGACUAGACAAAUGGAGAAUCUUGGGCAGUGUUUCAGGUGUUCAAUAUAACAGAAACAAUUAGGGCCUAUGUCCAUGUAAUCUCCUGCUAGUGUCGUUUUAAGGAAACUGUGCAGUGUAUUGGCGCUAGUCUUUAGUCCAGCUUGUUCGUUGCAAUUGGCCAUGUGGGUGAAUGUGCUACAAUACUAAUGAUGUAAACAAAUGGGGUUUCUCCCUCUCAAGAUUGUACUGAAGCUGAUGGGUGACAUGUUUGAAGUGGAGAUGCCUGAUAGACAGUUCCCCAAUCGUGAGGGCCUAGACGUCAUUACCUACAUUCGUAUCAAAGGAGACCUCAAACUUAUUUCUUUCAAAAUCUACUAGACCCCAAUAUGAGGGGUGAUUUAGUUUGCUUCUGUCCUAACCCAUUGAUCUAUGACAUUUAUCAAAUCAUUGUUCUAAUAUAUGUAUUAGUGAACUGUAGGACAUAUUAAAUAUGUAUUUGGGUUGACCACAGUCUAUCAUUGUUUGUAUAUUUUUUUCCCAUAGUACGGUAUAUUUGUUGCAAUAAUAUUCACAAUCACAUGUACACUAAACACAAGGGUAAUAUGAGGAUGA